rnacentral:lncRNA from 1 species
GUCAGUCCGCAACGCCCGCGAUAAUUAGGCAGAAUGACCAAAUUUAUACAGCACCCGGAAGUGCGAUAAACCGUCGUAUUUCGUGUCCCGCGAUUUGCGAGAUUUCGUGAGACUUUUGCACAGGUCAACAAACUUUAUCAUAGCUGCUUUGCCUUUCACUGUGCUGCGUAACACGUAGGGGACCGAAGCAUACAAGAACAGCUUCUAAAUCCUCGUACCAUUACGCAAUGGAAUCAACUACCAGCCACCAUCAUCAAAGAGUCAACAUCGGCCAAGUCUUUCCAUACCAAAGUUUGGAGCUACAUGCAGAUUGACCACUCAGCGCAGCUGUACACAGGCGGGCUAGAGCGUUGAUGUGGCUCUACUUCAUCUAAAAAUUAGAUGAUGUCUGCAACCCACUGUAUUUUUAUGAGCACCUUUUUAUUUUGACUUUUGAACUCUGCACCCUCAGUUGUGAUGUUUGUUGACAGUUUGCGAUGCCACGGAAGUCUGGACAUAUAUACCAAUUGGUCCUGUCCAGUACCACCUUAGAUGUAGAUGUAGAUGUUGUUGUUUUUCUGACAGAUGUACUCAACCAUCAAAACUUGCGGAACAUUGACAACAAAUCUUCUAAGACACAGACUUCACACAUCAGUCUCCAUUGCAUUCCUGGACCAGCAUUUGCUGGACUUCACAUAGGAACAAGCAAUCUUGAAAGGGGAGUUUUGGAGAAGGACGAGAAGGAUUUUGUUCAGCUUAUUCUUUCAGUAAAAGGAAAAUCCAUUUCAAGUGAUUACAUUUUUGUAUCUCUGAUACUUCGAAGGUGGGAUUCCGGAGCUUUACAUCAACAAAGCAUUUAUUAUAAUAAAAAACUGAUUGAACUGUCACUGUUAUACAAUUUAAACAUGUUUUACUCUGAUAAUACUUUUAUUCUCAGCGACAUAUUUUAUGCAAGUAAUGGUCUCAAGUUCUCAACAUACAUGUCAAAGUCAGUUUAUAAAUAAAAUAUGAAUAUUAUAAAAU